AACUCUCAAAAACGAAUAUCUUGGCUCUAGCAUCGAUGAAGAACGUAGCAAAAUGCAAUACUUGCUACGAAUUAUGGAAUCCCAUGAACCAUUGAGUCUUUCAAAGCAAGAUGCAGCCCAAGCCAUUAGAUCAAGGGCACGUCUGCCUAGGUGUCA
rfam:Gossypium raimondii Chr05_contig_791, whole genome shotgun sequence.